rnacentral:rRNA from 1 species
ACUCCCACGGGAGGCAGCAGUGGGGAAUAUUGCACAAUGGGCGCAAGCCUGAUGCAGCCAUGCCGCGUGUAUGAAGAAGGCCUUCGGGUUGUAAAGUACUUUCAGCAGUGAGGAAGGUGGGUAUGUUAAUAGCAUAUUCAUUUGACGUUAGCUGCAGAAGAAGCACCGGCUAACUCCGUGCCAGCAGCCGCGGUAAUACGGAGGGUGCGAGCGUUAAUCGGAAUUACUGGGCGUAAAGCGCAUGCAGGUGGUUUGUUAAGUCAGAUGUGAAAGCCCGGGGCUCAACCUCGGAAUUGCAUUUGAAACUGGCAAACUAGAGUACUGUAGAGGGGGGUAGAAUUUCAGGUGUAGCGGUGAAAUGCGUAGAGAUCUGAAGGAAUACCGGUGGCGAAGGCGGCCCCCUGGACAGAUACUGACACUCAGAUGCGAAAGCGUGGGGAGCAAACAGGAUUAGAUACCCUGGUAGCGUCGUC